CUGAUCUAGCCAUGCCGCGUGAGUGAUGAAGGCCUUAGGGUCGUAAAGCUCUUUCGCCUGUGAUGAUAAUGACAGUAGCAGGUAAAGAAACCCCAGCUAACUCCGUGCCAGCAGCCGCGGUAAUACGGAGGGGGUUAGCGUUGUUCGGAAUUACUGGGCGUAAAGCGCGCGUAGGCGGAUUAGAAAGUUGGGGGUGAAAUCCCGGGGCUCAACCUCGGAACUGCCUCCAAAACUGCUAGUCUAGAGUUCGAGAGAGGUGAGUGGAAUUCCGAGUGUAGAGGUGAAAUUCGUAGAUAUUCGGAGGAACACCAGUGGCGAAGGCGGCUCACUGGCUCGAUACUGACGCUGAGGUGCGAAAGUGUGGGGAGCAAACAGGAUUAGAUACCCUGGUAGUCCACACCGUAAACGAUGAAUGCCAGUCGUCGGGUAGUAUACUAUUCGGUGACACACCUAACGGAUUAAGCAUUCCGCCUGGGGAGUACGGUCGCAAGAUUAAAACUCAAAUGAAUUGACGGGG
rnacentral:rRNA from 1 species